rnacentral:rRNA from 1 species
GAUCCUGGCUCAGGAUGAACGCUAGCUACAGGCUUAACACAUGCAAGUCGGGGGGCAGCAUGGUCUUAGCUCGCUAAGGCCGAUGGCGACCGGCGCACGGGUGAGUAACACGUAUCCAACCUGCCGUCUACUCUUGGACAGCCUUCUGAAAGGAAGAUUAAUACAAGAUGGCAUCAUGAGUUCACAUGUUCACAUGAUUAAAGGUAUUCCGGUAGACGAUGGGGGUNCG